rnacentral:misc_RNA from 1 species
AACACUGUUAACCUGCGGUACCUGCGGAAGGAUCAUUACCGAGUGCGGGUCCUCGUGGCCCAACCUCCCACCGUGACUAUUGUACCUUGUUGCUUCGGCGGGCCCGCCAGCCCUGCUGGCCGCCGGGGGGCGUCUCGCCCCCGGGCCCGUGCCCGCCGGAGACCCCAACAUGAACCCUGUUCUGAAAGCUUGCAGUCUGAGUGUGAUUCUUUGCAAUCAGUUAAAACUUUUAACAACGGA